rnacentral:rRNA from 1 species
AACGAACGCUGGCGGCAUGCCUAACACAUGCAAGUCGAACGAUACCUUCGGGUCUAGUGGCGCACGGGUGCGUAACGCGUGGGAACCUGCCCUUAGGUUCGGAAUAACUCCCCGAAAGGGGUGCUAAUACCGGAUAAUGUCUUCGGACCAAAGAUUUAUCGCCUUUGGAUGGGCCCGCGUUGGAUUAGCUAGUUGGUAGGGUAAAAGCCUACCAAGGCGAGGAUCCAUAGCUGGUGUGAGAGGGUGAGCGGCCACAUUGGGACUGAGACACGGCCCAGACUCCUACGGGAGGCGGCAGUAGGGAAUCUGCGGCAAUGGACGAAAGUCUGACCGAGCAACGCCGCGUGAGUGAAGAAGGUUGUCGGAUCGUAAAACGCGGUUGGUAGAGAAGAACGUUGGUGAGAGUGGAAAGCUCCGCAAGUGACGGUAACUACCCAGAAAGGGACGGCUAACUACGUG